UGCCAGCCGCCGCGGUAAUACGGAGGGUGCAAGCGUUGCUUGGAAUUACUGGGCGUAAAGGGUAGGUAGGUGGUCUCGUUUGUCUGGGGUGAAAUCCCUGAGCUUAACUCAGGAACUGCCUUGGAAACGGCGAGACUGGAGUACUGGAGGGGAUAGCGGAAUUCCCGGUGUAGCGGUGAAAUGCGUAGAGAUCGGGAGGAACAUCUGAUGCGAAGGCGGCUAUCUGGACAGUUACUGACACUAAACUACGAAAGCGUGGGGAGCAAACAGGAUUAGAUA
rnacentral:rRNA from 1 species